ensembl:lncRNA
ACCAGCGCUCUGCAUUAUGGGUUGACCGAUUCAGGUUCGUCACGUGUGAGGGGAUGAGUACAUUAACGAUAUUUGUUUCUUUUUUUGUUACAUUGUUUUAAUGGAUAUUGAAGUCUGCAUUAACAAGGUCAGAUACAAAUAACAAACUCUGCUGGCAGUUAUUGGUUGAAAAGAUCCUCCUGCACCACCACCAGCCGUCUGCACUGGAUGAUCUGAAAAAAACAAACUUGCAUAAAUCAAAGCCUCUUUGUUGGAAAAAGAGAUGGACUGUUAUUUGCAUCCUUUUUUUCUUUCAAUUUGUCUGAUAUAAAGUCGAACGUCCUUCCCGCCUCCAUAAAUCCUGAGACACUAACAAAGUGAAGGAGCAUCCAAAUCAGCUCAUUGCAGCGGCAGUCGAUGGCCGCUCUCUCAAGGACGCUGAUUGACGUUUUAUACAGCUUCUGCAGAGGAUGAGCCAGGUGGAGGUUUACGUGAACUGCCGAUACGAUCAGAGCUGGGGAGCAGAUGCGAGGCUGGGAAACGGUGGCAGUUCACUGGAGUUGAAUUGUACCCCGGAGAGGAGGAAGUGAAGUUUUUCUAUCAGAUGGAAAGAUCAGAGGAGACGGAUAAUUCAGUAAUCACAUCUCCAGCGAUUAGGGGGGACAGGAGGCGGGUUGCCGAUAAGGAACUGUGGGCUUCACGGACGUUCUGUUCGGUUAAUAGGAAACCGAAAAAGACUCAACGCCUUAUUUUCCCAGUGGUAUCUGCUUCUUUUAUCACACCACUUUAUGAUUUCUCACCUUGUCUCAUUGGGUCGUCUGAUCUCAUCUCAUUUACUAAAGGGUCGGUGAACCUGUCAGCGAAUCAAAACCAACUUCUGUGUGUGCUUCAUCUGGGUACGGUUGUAUCUUCUCAUCUCGUCUCAUUCCUGAUGACUUACAUUAGUUUUUUGACCCAUCUCGUCCUCAUAAUCCUGUUUCAUUCAUGCGGUAACAGAUGAAAACAACGCCCAGGCCUAUAAAAAAUGAUCUUUUUGGUCAUGUUUUAUUCUCCAAAGAAAUGUCAACAUCCUGAGUAAGACAGCCUAACCCAAGGGACAAUAGUAGAAAUUGUUUAAAUAUAAAUCCUGGUGCUCCUUCUGUCACGGUUUGGGUUUGUUUCCUUUCUUAUUUUGUAGUUUUCUGCCUCUUGUGUCCCUGGGUAACUUCACUUCCUGCCUUGUCCUGUCAUCCCCUGUGAUUGUCUGAUUGUUUCCACCUGUGUCCAAUCACCUGCACCUGCACCAUGUGUAUUUAAGUCAUGUGUGUCGCUUGUCCCUUGUCGCUCAUUGUUGACUGUUUUGGAUGUUCCUGUCUGCAUUUUUUGCCCCUGGCCCUUUUGGAUUUUGACUAUUAAAGUCUUUUUGUUUUUGAAAGUCUGCGUUUGAGUCCUGCCUUCUCUGUCUGAACAAGACUUUUCAAGGAUUACUCAUAUUUUUCCACCUGAUGAACACUCCAUAUCCUGACAUCAUAUCUGUAAGUCACAAACCGUUGUCAAUGCCACCUGACGAGCAUGACGAGUCCUCUGACUCUCUCUAUCCAAGUGGGUAAAAGCCUGACGUGUAUAUGUGCACACGGACACACAAGCGCACCAUGUCUUGUUGGCCUGUGAGAUCUUAUCACGGACAUUGAAAUGAGAUGAGACAAUGUGAGUAUCUGCUUCCUGUGUUUGUGUGUGGUUGGGAUGCAUGGGUCUCAUGCAGUAUCAUGUUAAAGUUGAGCGUCUGCUGUCUGCAGAGUCGCCGUAGUUUUAAUUUGAUGCUUUUAUUUUGAAGGCUUGUAAAGUAUGUAAAAUCUUGAUAGAUUAAAUUAAGAAGACAUAAUAUUGCAAAUAAU